rnacentral:rRNA from 1 species
UACGGAGGGUGCGAGCGUUGUUCGGAAUUAUUGGGCGUAAAGCGCGUGUAGGCGGUUACUUAAGUCUGAUGUGAAAGCCCCGGGCUUAACUUGGGAAGUGCGCUUAAUACGGAUGGGCUUGAGUCCGGAAGGGGGUGGCGGAAUUCCCAGUGUAGAGGUGAAAUGCGUAGAUAUCGGGAGGAACACCAGUGGCGAAGGCGGCCACCUGGACAGUAACUGACGCUGAGGUGCGAAAGCGUGGGGAGCAAACAGG